rnacentral:rRNA from 1 species
UACGUAGGGUGCAAGCGUUAAUCGGAAUUACUGGGCGUAAAGCGUGCGCAGGCGGUUUUGUAAGUUUGUCGUGAAAGCCCCGGGCUCAACCUGGGAAUUGCGAUGAAGACUGCAAGGCUUGAAUCUGGCAGAGGGGGGUAGAAUUCCACGUGUAGCAGUGAAAUGCGUAGAUAUCGGGAGGAACACCAGUGGCGAAGGCGGCUUCCUGGCCUGUUCUUGACGCUGAGGCGCGAAAGCUAGGGGAGCAAACGGG